rnacentral:rRNA from 1 species
GACGAACGCUGGCGGCGUGCUUAACACAUGCAAGUCGUACGGUAAGGCCCUUUCGGGGGUACACGAGUGGCGAACGGGUGAGUAACACGUGAGUAACCUGCCCACAACUUUGGGAUAACGCUAGGAAACUGGUGCUAAUACUGGAUAUGUGCUCCUGCCGCAUGGUGGGGGUUGGAAAGCUCCGGCGGUUGUGGAUGGACUCGCGGCCUAUCAGCUUGUUGGUGGGGUAGUGGCCUACCAAGGCGGCGACGGGUAGCCGGCCUGAGAGGGUGACCGGCCACAUUGGGACUGAGAGACGGCCCAGACUCCUACGGGAGGCAGCAGUGGGGAAUAUUGCACAAUGGGCGCAAGCCUGAUGCAGCAACGCCGCGUGCGGGAUGACGGCCUUCGGGUUGUAAACCGCUUUCAGCAGGGACGAAGCUUUUUGUGACGGUACCUGCAGAAGAAGCACCGGCUAACUACGUG